rnacentral:lncRNA from 1 species
CUUCAUUAGAAGUGACUCAAAUGGGUUCCUUUUUAUGGCUGCAUUCCAUCCAGGCUCUCAUUGUUCCCUAGCCAUGUUUUGAGGAGAGUCAUGGAGCUAUUCUGCUCCAUUUCAGGUUGGGCUUCCAGUCUGAAUGCUCACAGCAGAGUUAUUUCUGGGUGAGCCCUCUGAGGUCUGUGAGCGCGGGGCUGCCUGCUCUUCUCUGGCGGCCUGCAGGGGGCGCCAGAACCCACUCUGACCCACGGGUGCAGGACGCUUUGCCUUCAGACUGGGCUCGGUGACCAACUGACGGGAGCUGUGUCUCCUCAGGACCGCCAGGACUCGGGCUUCUGGAUAAUGGGGCUGCAUCCAGGCUGAGAGGAGCAGGGUUGCCUCAGUGCCCACCAGCAGGGAGGUGCUGCAAGAGGGAAAAAAUGAGGACCAAGUAGACGUUUCCUGUGUCCAGCUGAGGGCUGACUGGAAGUCCAUCUCAAAGGACUCAGCAGGGAAAGAGCUCCAUGUGCAAAACGGUCAUUCAGAGGACCCAAGACAUGGUGGUUACUAGUAGACUUCCCACAGUAGUUCUUCAUUCCAUGUGGACUCCUUCAAGGGCAGUGAGCAUCACAGCUUCCCUUGAACUUCGUCUGGGUAAGUCUUGGCCUGUAUAAGAAAGUUUCAUGCCUGUCUACUCUAAAUUUCUUUUGUGGUAUUGACAUGGUUGUUUUGAAACAUAAUUUACUUUCCAGUAAUUUCAAAUGUAUGGAAAACUCCUAGCAAUGGGAAAAAGUACUCACAUUUGCCACAUCAUCUAAAAUAGUUUAUGUAUUUUAUCCAAAAGGGGUGCCUUCUCCUGCAGAACCAGCACAUAACCUCCAACAUGAGGAAAUCAUAUGGUUUCUACAUUAUAAUAUAAUCCACAGCCCCACUUCCACUUUUAGCAAUUGUUCAAGUAUAUGAAUUUAUCUUUUUUUUCCAUCCUCAUCGUUUUUUCUUUGUUUAGAGUGUUACUGAGAUUUUCAGUUAUUUGGACAAACUUGAUGGAUUUAAAGCAGACAUGUUUCCUUUGCAGGGGUGUUACUGUGCAGAUUCCAGUACUAUGGCUAGAGUGAGUAAUAGUGUCAUUAUUUGUGAGAGCAACUCUGCUAAGUCUUAACGAUCAUGUCACUCAAGGCUUUUUAAUAAAGUAGUGUUUGUAGUUUGUGAAGUCA